rnacentral:tRNA from 1 species
GGAGAGGUGGCCGAGCGGCCGAAGGCAGCUGCCUGCUAAGCAGUUGACGGCGAAAGUCGUCCCUGGGUUCGAAUCCCAGCCUCUCCG